rnacentral:rRNA from 1 species
ACGAACGCUGGCGGCGUGCUUAACACAUGCAAGUCGAACGGAAAGGCCCUGCUUUUGUGGGGUGCUCGUGUGGCGAACGGGUGAGUAACACGUGAGUAACCUGCCCUUGACUUUGGGAUAACUUCAGGAAACUGGGGCUAAUACCGGAUAGGAGCUCCUGCUGCAUGGUGGGGGUUGGAAAGUUUCGGCGGUUGGGGAUGGACUCGCGGCUUAUCAGCUUGUUGGUGGGGUAGUGGCUUACCAAGGCUUUGACGGGUAGCCGGCCUGAGAGGGUGACCGGCCACAAGGGGACUGAGAUACGGCCCAGACUCCUACGGGAGGCAGCAGUGGGGAAUAUUGCACAAUGGGCGGAAGCCUGAGGCAGCAACGCCGCGUGCGGGAUGACGGCCUUCGGGUUGUAAACCGCUUUCGCCUGUGACGAAGCGUGAGUGACGGUAAUGGGUAAAGAAGCACCGGCUAACUACGUG